UUUGCGGUGCGUGCCAGGCAGUUUUGGGGUUACCUUGUGGAUAUGAGCUGAUUAGGACAGUUUUUGUAAUUAGAUUGCUCAUCCAAAUAAGUUAAAGUGAAGCGUGACACUUUUUUGUUUUGUUUUAAUAACAAAUGGUAAUAAAAAAUAAUAGCUACGAUAUGCCUUGAACUUACUCAGUCCUUUAAUAUUAGUGUUAAAGUCCUCAUAUGCUCUCCCGUAUGAGUCUCUCUAAACAUCUUUGUGUGCAAUACAUCACUCUUUUAUCUGAGGCUGCCCUGAACGCAUCACUCCGAGACGGUGCAAGACUAUCAAUGUAAAUAUUAUAUCUCACAUUUGUUUCCCUUUCAUUGAAGUGUUCAUUUUGCAACAAACACUAUUUAAAUAUAGUUUACAGCUUAAACCGACCUGAAUCAUCCCAAAUUGUCAAGUAAAAGUAUCAAUCCAGUGUCUGUGAGGCUCAGCAGAAACACAGGACAAUCCUCAGUAGCAACUUUGGACAGAUGUAGUGAUCCGAUUCAUGAAUGAACGUGAACCUUUAAACUACGGGAGAUUCCAGGGAGAAAUGACAAUACAGGAGGUGGGCGGGAGAGAGGUCUGAAAUAUGGGAGAGUCCCGGGAAAAACUAGAGUGUUGGCAGGUAUGCAAAAGUAUGAUCUCCCAUCUGCCAAGUUUUCAUUGUCAAAGAUUCCCACCAUCCCUCUCUUAUUGAUGAAGACUCAACAUAAAGACAGGAUCGAGUGUCAUCUUCUAAGAUCAGACCCACUUGUAAUCCACCAUGAGUAAAACACUUUGCAUAGACAUAACAGAUGCAAAUGCUUCCACAGGGAUUCACUAUGUGGUUCAAUCAUAGACUGUAUAUACUACGGACAACUUGGCUCCGCCUUCCGUCAUUAUACGAAUUUGAAGUGGGAUUGCUCUAUGGUAUUUAUUAUCUCCACUUCCUGGAACUACCACUUGCGCAGUAGUGUUGUACGCAUUUGGCGGGAGAGUCGCUGUGAUGACGCUCGGCUCAAACAGCAUAUCACCCGGGUGAGCUAAGCAGUCUUCUUACACCCAUAGGUUGUAUCAAGUGUCAAUCAUAGAAAACAUGAACCCCCUAAUAACUUUUAUAAAAUUUGUCCACAGCCCCAUAAGGAUUGCUGGAGGAGGCGGGAUUUAUGACCUAUACUGCAGCCCGUCACUAGAGGGUGCUGUUCUCACGGUGGCUUCACCCAGUGAGGAGGUAGAAAGUGUCCAUUCUAUAUACAGUCUAUGGAUACAGUCAAUCAGUAGCGUAUCAUGCUCAGCUUGAUUGUCAAAGCUAUGCAGGACCUUUUUUUAUCGAUAACAGAGCUGAACCUCGCUGAACACCUUUUAGAGAGUUUGGACCAUCAUUUCAUUGACGCUCCACUCGACUCAUUGUUGGUUUUCCCUCUAAUUUGUUGUCCGUCUGCAGCAGAGUAUCCUGAACACUCAGAUUCUAAAGCCCGUGAAUUUCCAUGUGCUUUUGGUGUUGUGUUGUUGCUUUUCAGCCGUGAAGUAGGAGACCGCUCCCGUUUAAUCAAGAAUCUGUUGAUAACCUUGGUUGGCUGCGUUGGUUUUCACUGCGUAUCAUGUCGGAGCUCUAAAGAGUGUAUGCAUCUCUGGCAUGAGACAGUGAAGGCUGUGUCUUUGUGCUGUCCUUGGAGGACGUCUGGUGAUUUAAUUACAGAGACAUUCCAAUCUGCCACUUCAGUCAAUCAGGGAUAAAAACUGUAGUGUACUGUACUCAAGAUGUCGUGUCCUUCGGGUUUGUGUCUGACCAGGGAGGGAUGCUCAAUACUAUAAGUUUCUGGGCUCUUUGUGAAGCCCAACAAGUAGAGAUAGGACUGUUGAAAGACUCCCAAACAACAUGUCCUCUUACCUGUAAGUCUGUGUAAGUGAAAUACCAACGACUUUAAUAAUUGCAUUUAUGACCCGUACACCAGCACAAAAGGUAGCUUUUAUUCUUACUUAAGUUUGGGGACCCAAACUAGUCAAGGUCCAAGUAUGAGUCAUUCUGGUAAACAACAUUACAAACAGGAUGAAAACUAAAAACCUGGCAUAGACUAGUGCACUAUGCUGACUUUUGUUUUACUCAAGGGUCUCAAAGUAUUUGGUCUCUUCUGUGAAAGUUAGCAGAAUUUGACACUUAUUGCAUUAGCUAGUAUCACAUUUUGUACACCCAACACAUGUUAGUGUUAUUUAUGGCAGCUAUUGAAGAUUAAGUUUUGUCUUUAGACCAAAAUGCCUAAUGGCUUCUUUUUGUCACAUUUAAGUUUUUACUUUUAUAUUUUACUUAAAAAAAAAAAAACUCAAAACAUUUGAGUUUAGUUUCAGUCCAUAAACAGCAUUAGAUUUUAGUUAUUAUUUUAGUCAGAGUGAUUUCGUCUUUUGAUCUGUUUGGUAGAAUCCGGUGUUUUCUUUAAAUCUUUAAAGCAACAUUUAACUCUCGCUCCACUUUUGCUUGAUACCUUUGUUUGAUGAUUUAGCCCAACUUUUUCUGAAACAUGAUCCAAUGCUGCUGGUAGGGGUGUCCUGAUAUGAUAUUGCUAUCGUAUAUUGGUCCGAUAUCAGCAAAAAAUCUAAUACCGGAUUAUAUCGGCCUGCAUCUGAGACCUCCGAUAUCAGCACUCCUUCACAAGCAGUCCAUUCCAGACUCCGCACUGGCACCUCUAUCUAGCAGCGCCCUGAUCCAGCAAACUGAGCCCACAAAAUCACUACAACAGUGUGUACUAAGGUACUAACAAAGUAGCAAAGGAGUAAGAGUGAUGUCGGCCUUGUGGCAGUAUUUUUUGUCUCAGUCUGAAAAAGACGUUGCAGCUGAGUGAAAAACUUGUCAUGCACAAUUUUGUGCCAAUAUGGCAUUAAAUAUCAUUCAUUAUCGGACAAUAUUGAAGGCUACAAUAUCUGUAUUGUAUUGGAAGUCAAAAAGCUGUAUCGGGACACCCCUAGCUGCUGGCCUAUCCCUCCUACUCGGUGGAGGAAAGUGUAUUACACACAGAUAACAGUGGUUGGUCUAUACUCCACUAUUUCUCAAGAUUAUGGACAUUUACAGUCUUCAACUGUGUCUGUACAACGCUUUGCACUCUUAACUAAAUCUUAAUCCCUAAUGAUUUAAAGUUAAUCAAAUCUGUGAAACAUGUAACUAAAAAUACUGCCCACUAUAGCUUACAUUUACAGCCAUAAUUUGCAUCAACUAAAUGAACCCUAGUUGGCUUCACUUUCAGGGAGCUGGCACAUCAUCCACCGUUUCACUCAAUGUAUGAUCAGGAUGAGUUGUUCAGAUACAUGACCUGUAAGAAAUGAUCACUUCAGAAAAAUUAAAACGACAACACUGCUGUCUUCAAGGACCUGUCCCAUCCUCAACCCUGCCUCCAACCUACACCCCAACUCCCAGCAUCCUCCCCUCUGUCCUCAAAUCCAAUAUCCUCCUCUUCCUCAUUCCUGUCGUCUUUGUGAAAACUUUUUCUACUCCUCUCUCUUGAUAUUGAUCCUCUCUCUGCCUCUCCAUCCAUCCAUUCAUCUCUCCUCCUCACCUCCUCCUCUCUCCCCUUAUUGAUCUCCUUCUCCCUCUCCUUCUCUCUCUCUCUCUCUCUCUCUCUCUCCCCCUCUCUCUGCUAUCUGACUCUGCCUUUGUCUUCUUAUCGAGGUUUCAGGGUUUAUUCUGGCUGCUGUUAUUGACAGGCCUCUCGCUCCAUGGCCAACUAAUGCAUCCCUAAUCCCACCUUUGUUACUCAGGAAUGUUCUCUCUCUCCGUCAAACACACACGCUCACUCUCACAGACACACACACGAUAUGCCAACACAUAAGUGGGUGUAAGGUAAAAAGAGGCCACGAGGAUGUUGAUCCCAGCUUUCCAUUUGUUGCGAAAGCCAUCUAUCAAUCAAAAAAGGGCCUGCCUGUUGUCUGUGUGUUUUUUGUCAAUCUGUGUAUGUGUGUGCGUAAGUGUGUGUGUGUGUGUGUGGGUCUUGAGUGACAGGCCAAAUCGCGGCUGAGGACGUUUGAUAAGCUUGUAUUGUCGGUCGUCGGUCUCCCCCCUCUCCUCCUCCGCCUCCCUUCACACCUCCACCUCGAUAAGAAAUACAUUCGACUAGAGCUGAUAACGGUGUCAGGAGCAGCAAAGCCCCACUCCAAAGACACACGCACACACACACACAUAUACACACGCCACGCCAAGGGAGAGGUGUCUUUCUUCGCACACCUUGGCUGUAAAUGAUACUCUCAACAAACAGCGGCGAAAAAACACCACUCAGGAAGAAAAAGAUUCAGAUACCAGCUCAGAGUGUGUGUGUUUGUUGGGGGAAUGAUGUGCGAUAUGGCUAAGGGUAUGCUAUAGGCUUAUUGAAUAAGGUCUUAGUGAUAGCACCUGUGUGUGUGUUUGUGUGUGUGUGUUGUGAACAGCAGAGAAAGAAUACAGUAAUAGGCUUAUAGCAUCAGAGGCAGAGUGUCAGACUUAGAAAAACACACGGAGUUCAAAGACUGACUGACAGCUGUCCGUGUUUGUGUGUGUGGGUGUAGGUGUAGGUGUGUUGCAUGUGAUUCAGUAUGUAACACACUUUCAGUUUCAUAUGUAUUUUGUGUUUGUUUGCGCUGAUGUACACCAGGUUUUUUUUAAAUCAGGUCUGUGCACUUUAGUCUUCGAUGCUUCAAAACAUGAUAGUUAUGUUGACAUGGAGUUAAACUAGUUUGAGCCAAAUUCAAAAUCACCUCUGACUAGGGCUGGGCAAUAUGGCCUCAAAUCAAUAUCACAAUAUAUUGAGUAGUAGACGAUAAUUACUCGACA
rnacentral:lncRNA from 1 species